rnacentral:rRNA from 1 species
CAGCCGCCGCGGUAAUACGUAGGGUGCAAGCGUUAAUCGGAAUUACUACGCGUAAAGCGUGCGCAGGCGGUUAUAUAAGACAGAUGUGAAAUCCCCGGGCUCAACCUGGGAACUGCAUUUGUGACUGUAUAGCUAGAGUACGGCAGAGGGGGAUGGAAUUCCGCGUGUAGCAGUGAAAUGCGUAGAUAUGCGGAGGAACACCGAUGGCGAAGGCAAUCCCCUGGGCCUGUACUGACGCUCAUGCACGAAAGCGUGGGGAGCAAACAGGAUUAGAUACCCCAGUAGUCCCUGUCUCUUAUAC